AAUGAACGCUGGCGGCGUGCCUAAUACAUGCAAGUCGAGCGAACGGACGAGAAGCUUGCUUCUCUGAUGUUAGCGGCGGACGGGUGAGUAACACGUGGUUAACCUACCUAUAAGACUGGGGUAACUACGGGAGACCGUAGCUAAUACCGGAUAAUAUUUUGAACUGCAUGGUUCAAAAGUGAAAGACGGUCUUGCUGUCACUUAUAGAUGGAUCCGCGCUGCAUUAGCUAGUUGGUAAGGUAACGGCUUACCAAGGCAACGAUGCAUAGCCGACCUGAGAGGGUGAUCGGACACACUGGAACUGAGACACGGUCCAGACUCCGACGGGAGGAAGCAGUAGGGAAUCCUCCGCAAUGGGCGAAAGCCUGACGGAGCAACGCCGCGUGAGUGAUGAAGGUCUUCGGAUCGUAAAGCGCUGUUAUUAGGGAAGAAGAAAAGCGUAAGUAACUGUGCACAUCUUGACGGUACCGAAAGAAUAAGCCACGGCUAACUCCGUG
rnacentral:rRNA from 1 species